AGAGUUUGAUCCUGGCUCAGGAUGAACGCUGGCGGCGUGCUUAACACAUGCAAGUCGAACGAUUAAGACACCUUCGGGUGUGUAUAAAGUGGCGAACGGGUGAGUAACACGUGACCAACCUACCCCGUGCACCGGGACAACCACCGGAAACAGUGGCUAAUACCGGAUAAUGCUAGAUAAGCGCAUGUUUUUCUAGCCAAAGCACAUACGGCACGGGAUGGGGUCGCGGCCCAUCAGGUUGUAGGCGGGGUAACGGCCCACCUAGCUUUCGACGGGUAGCCGAGCUGAGAGGCUGAUCGGCCACAUUGGGACUGAGAUACGGCCCAGACUCCUACGGGAGGCAGCAGUGGGGAAUAUUGGUCAAUGGGGGGAACCCUGAACCAGCAACGCCGCGUGAAGGAAGAAGGCUUUCGGGUUGUAAACUUCUUUUAUCUGUGACGAUAGUGACGGUAGCAGAUGAAUAAGCUACGGCUAACUACGUGCCAGCAGCCGCGGUAAUACGUAGGUAGCGAGCGUUAUCCGGAUUUACUGGGUGUAAAGGGCGCGUAGGCGGGACAGCAAGUCAGGUGUGAAAACUAUGGGCUUAACCCAUAGCCUGCAUUUGAAACUGCAGUUCUUGAGUACUGGAGAGGCAGUCGGAAUUCCGUGUGUAGCGGUGAAAUGCGUAGAUAUACGGAAGAACACCAGUGGCGAAGGCGGACUGCUGGACAGCAACUGGCGCUGAGGCGCGAGAGCGUGGGGAGCAAACAGGAUUAGAUACCCUGGUAGUCCACGCCGUAACGAUGAUACUAGGUGUGGGG
rnacentral:rRNA from 1 species